rnacentral:tRNA from 1 species
GCUUGGGUGGCUUACUCGGUUAAGCGUCUGACUUUGGCUCAAGUCAUGAUCUCACAGUUCGUGGGUUCGAGACCCACGUCAGGCU